UACGAAGGGGGCUAGCGUUGCUCGGAAUGACUGGGCGUAAAGGGCGCGUAGGCGGCGGACACAGUCAGAUGUGAAAUUCCUGGGCUCAACCUGGGGGCUGCAUUUGAUACGUGUUUGCUUGAGUGGGGAAGAGGGUCGUGGAAUUCCCAGUGUAGAGGUGAAAUUCGUAGAUAUUGGGAAGAACACCGGUGGCGAAGGCGGCGACCUGGUCCUUGACUGACGCUGAGGCGCGAAAGCGUGGGGAGCAAACAG
rnacentral:rRNA from 1 species